rnacentral:rRNA from 1 species
CCUACGGGUGGCAGCAGUGGGGAAUAUUGGGCAAUGGGCGCAAGCCUGACCCAGCAACGCCGCGUGAAGGAAGAAGGCUUUCCGGUUGUAAACUUCUUUUGUCAGGGACGAAGCAAGUGACGGUACCUGACGCAUAAGCCACGGCUAACUACGUGCCAGCAGCCGCGGCAAUACGUAGGUGGCAAGCGUUAUCCGGAUUUAUUGGGUGUAAAGGGCGUGUAGGCGGGAAUGCAAGUCAGAUGUGAAAACUAUGGGCUCAACCCAUAGACUGCAUUUGAAACUGUAUUUCUUGAGUGCUGGGGAGGCAGGCGGAAUUCCGGGUGUAGCGGUGAAAUGCGUAGAUAUACGGAGGAACACCAGUGGCGAAGGCGGAUUGCUGGACAGUAACUGACGCUGAGGCGCGAAAGCGUUGGGAGCAAACAGGAUUAGAUACCCCGGUAGUC